rnacentral:tRNA from 1 species
GAGAUGUUGGUGUAGCGGUAACACGCUAGCUUGUGGAGCUAGAAAUGGGGGUCCGACUCCCCUACAUCUCC